rnacentral:rRNA from 1 species
AUUGAACGCUGGCGGAAUGCUUUACACAUGCAAGUCGAGCGGCAGCACGGGGGCAACCCUGGUGGCGAGCGGCGAACGGGUGAGUAACACAUCGGAACGUACCCUGUCGUGGGGGAUAACGAGUCGAAAGAUUCGCUAAUACCGCAUACGACCUGAGGGUGAAAGCGGGGGAUCGCAAGACCUCGCGCGAUAGGAGCGGCCGAUAUCAGAUUAGGUAGUUGGUAGGGUAACGGCCUACCAAGGCUACGAUGUUUAGGGGACCUGAGAGGGGUGAUCCCCCCACACUGGUACUGAGACACGGACCAGACUCCUACGGGAGGCAGCAGUGAGGAAUAUUGGUCAAUGGGCGUAAGCCUGAACCAGCCAUCCCGCGUGAAGGAAGAAGGCGCUAUGCGUCGUAAACUUC